UACGGGGGGGGUAAGCGUUGUUCGGAAUUACUGGGCGUAAAGGGCUCGUAGGCGGCCAACUAAGUCAGACGUGAAAUCCCCCGGCUUAACCUGGGAACUGCGUCUGAUACUGGGAGGCUUGAGUAUGGGAGAGGGAUGUAGAAUUCCAGGUGUAGCGGUGAAAUGCGUAGAUAUCUGGAGGAAUACCGGUGGCGAAGGCGGCAUCCUGGACCAUUACUGACGCUUAAGCGCGAAAGCUAGGGGAGCAAACAGG
rnacentral:rRNA from 1 species